UACGGAGGGAGCUAGCGUUGUUCGGAAUUACUGGGCGUAAAGCGCGCGUAGGCGGCUUUGUAAGUUAGAUGUGAAAGCCCGGAGCUCAACUCCGGAACUGCCUUUAAAACUGCAUCGCUUGAAUCCAGGAGAGGUGAGUGGAAUUCCGAGUGUAGAGGUGAAAUUCGUAGAUAUUCGGAAGAACACCAGUGGCGAAGGCGGCUCACUGGACUGGUAUUGACGCUGAGGUGCGAAAGCGUGGGGAGCAAACAGG
rnacentral:rRNA from 1 species